rnacentral:rRNA from 1 species
GGUGAACGCUGGCGGCGUGCCUAAUACAUGCAAGUCGAGCGAACGGACGAGAAGCUUGCUUCUCUGAUGUUAGCGGCGGACGGGUGAGUAACACGUGGAUAACCUACCUAUAAGACUGGGAUAACUUCGGGAAACCGGAGCUAAUACCGGAUAAUAUUUUGAACCGCAUGGUUCAAAAGUGAAAGACGGUCUUGCUGUCACUUAUAGAUGGAUCCGAGCUGCAUUAGCUAGUUGGUAAGGUAACGGCUUACCAAGGCAACGAUGCAUAGCCGACCUGAGAGGGUGAUCGGCCACACUGGAACUGAGACACGGUCCAGACUCCUACGGGAGGCAGCAGUAGGGAAUCUUCCGCAAUGGGCGAAAGCCUGACGGAGCAACGCCGCGUGAGUGAUGAAGGUCUUCGGAUCGUAAAACUCUGUUAUUAGGGAAGAACAUAUGUGUAAGUAACUGUGCACAUCUUGACGGUACCUAAUCAGAAAGCCACGGCUAACUACGUG